rnacentral:rRNA from 1 species
AUACGGGAGGCAGCAGUGGGGAAUUUUGCGCAAUGGGGGAAACCCUGACGCAGCAACGCCGCGUGGACGAUGAAGCUUCUUGGAGUGUAAAGUCCUUUCGGCAGGGACGAAUUAAUGACGGUACCUGCAGAAGAAGCCCCGGCUAACUCCGUGCCAGCAGCCGCGGUAAUACGGGGGGGGCAAGCGUUGUUCGGAAUUAUUGGGCGUAAAGGGCGCGUAGGCGGUGUGGUAAGUCAGGUGUGAAACCUCCAGGCUCAACUUGGAGCUUGCAUCUGAAACUGCCGUGCUAGAGUGUGGGAGAGGAGAGUGGAAUUCCUGGUGUAGCGGUGAAAUGCGUAGAUAUCAGGAGGAACACCGGUGGCGAAGGCGGCUCUCUGGACCACAACUGACGCUGAGGCGCGAAAGCUAGGGGAGCAAACAGGAUUAGAUACCCCGGU